ACAUGCCUACAAUGUAACGUUAGUGCACUAGAUCCCAUUAGAGCUCCAUUGUUAAGUGCACUCAGUCUAGAGUAGCACUGGGAUGGGUGACCACCCGAGAAUUCCUAGUGUUUUACAUGCC
rnacentral:rRNA from 1 species